rnacentral:rRNA from 1 species
AGAGCGAACGCUGGCGGCAGGCUUAACACAUGCAAGUCGAGCGGGCGUAGCAAUACGUCAGCGGCAGACGGGUGAGUAACGCGUGGGAACGUACCUUUUGGUUCGGAACAACCCAGGGAAACUUGGGCUAAUACCGAAUAAGCCCUUACGGGGAAAGAUUUAUCGCCGAAAGAUCGGCCCGCGUCUGAUUAGCUAGUUGGUGGGGUAAUGGCCCACCAAGGCGACGAUCAGUAGCUGGUCUGAGAGGAUGAUCAGCCACAUUGGGACUGAGACACAGCCCAAACUCCUACGGGAGGCAGCAGUGGGGAAUAUUGGACAAUGGGCGCAAGCCUGAUCCAGCCAUGCCGCGUGAGUGAUGAAGGCCCUAGGGUUGUAAAGCUCUUUGUGCGGGAAGAUAAUGACGGUACCGCAAGAAUAAGCCCCGGCUAACUUCGUGCCAGCAGCCGC